AGAGUUUGAUCAUGGCUCAGAACGAACGCUGGCGGCAGGCCUAACACAUGCAAGUCGAGCGAGACCUUCGGGUCUAGCGGCGGACGGGUUAGUAACGCGUGGGAACGUACCCUUUUCUAAGGAAUAGCCACUGGAAACGGUGAGUAAUGCCUUAUACGCCCUUCGGGGGAAAGAUUUAUCGGAGAAGGAUCGGCCCGCGUUGGAUUAGAUAGUUGGUGGGGUAACGGCCUACCAAGUCGACGAUCCAUACCUGGUUUUAGAGGAUGAUCAGCAACACUGGGACUGAGACACGGCCCAGACUCCUACGGGAGGCAGCAGUGGGGAAUCUUAGACAAUGGGCGCAAGCCUGAUCUAGCCAUGCCGCGUGUGUGAUGAAGGCCUUAGGGUCGUAAAGCACUUUCGCCAGAGAUGAUAAUGACAGUAUCUGGUAAAGAAACCCCGGCUAACUCCGUGCCAGCAGCCGCGGUAAUACGGAGGGGGUUAGCGUUGUUCGGAAUUACUGGGCGUAAAGCGCGCGUAGGCGGACUAGAAAGUUGGGGGUGAAAUCCCAGGGCUCAACCCUGGAACUGCCUCCAAAACUCCUAGUCUAGAGUUCGAGAGAGGUGAGUGGAAUUCCGAGUGUAGAGGUGAAAUUCGUAGAUAUUCGGAGGAACACCAGUGGCGAAGGCGGCUCACUGGCUCGAUACUGACGCUGAGGUGC
rnacentral:rRNA from 1 species